rnacentral:rRNA from 1 species
UAGGGAAUAUUGGGCAAUGGAUGCAAGUCUGACCCAGCCAUGCCGCGUGCCGGAUGAAGGCCCUCAGGGUUGUAAACGGCUUUUMUUCGGGAAGAAGAGCAGGGAUGCGUCCCUGUGUGACGGUACCGAAUGAAUAAGCACCGGCUAACUCCGUGCCAGCAGCCGCGGUAAUACGGAGGGUGCGAGCGUUGUCCGGAUUUAUUGGGUUUAAAGGGUGCGUAGGUGGCUUUUUAAGUCAGUGGUGAAAUACAGCCGCUCAACGGUUGAGGUGCCAUUGAUACUGAAGAGCUUGAAACAAGUGGAGGCUGCCGGAAUGGAUGGUGUAGCGGUGAAAUGCAUAGAUAUCAUCCAGAACACCGAUUGCGAAGGCAGGUGGCUACGUUUGAUUUGACACUGAGGCACGAAAGCAUGGGGAGCAAACAGGAUUAGAUACCCUGGUAGUCCAUGCCGUAAACGAUGAGGACUCGCUGUUGGUCUGUCAAGGAUCAGCGGCUUAGGGAAACCGUUAAGUCCUCCACCUGGGGAGUACGCCGGCAACGGUG